AUGACACCAAUGAUGUUGAUCUCAUCAAUUCCGAUGAUGAGCGUAAUAGAGGACGCCUCUGAUCAACAAGAUGAAUCUGCCGAGCAUGGUACUGCAAAACCUCCUAAAUCCCUUCUAGAUGAGGUAUUUUUUCUUGAUGCACCUAAAGGGAAGAGCUCUGGUGGAUCAAGACCCUGGCGAUACAAACAUUGUGAUAAGAAGUACACAAGUAGUUAUACAAGAAUUCAUCAGCACUUCUUUGGUGUUGGUCCUGGCAAGACGAAACAAAUUGCUCGUUGCUCUGUCGCAAGUGAUCGCUAUCACCAACCUGAGAAAGUACAAGCUUCAGGCUCGGUGCCUAAAAAGCAAUUAGUAGAAGCUUUUGCUGGGGUGGAAAGAGAUGCAGUGGACAUGCAAAUAAUGUUGUUCCUUUGUGCUAAUGGAAUUCCCUUCAAUGUGUUGAGAAGUCCACAAUACUAUGAAAUGGUAGCAGCCAUCCAGAGAGCACCAAAGGGAUACAAACCUCCUGCAUAUGAGAAGGCUAGGACUACUCUUCUAGAUGCAUGUAAGAGAAAGGUGGAGAAUGAUUUGGCUCCGGUUAGACAAACAUUGUAUUCCCAUGGUGUCUGUGUUGUUUCUGACGGAUGGACAAACAUGAAGAACCAUCCAUUAAUCAACGUAAUAGCAUCGAAUAGCUGUGGUUCAAUGUUUCUGUACGCAGAAGACUUCUCUGGAGAAGAGAAGACAGGUGAAGCCAUUGCACAAUUCUUACUACAAGCCACUGAUGAGAUUGGCCCUUCCAAUGUCCUUCAGGUGCAUAAGCAUAUAUUUUGGUCUCCAUGUGUGGAUCACACACUGAAUCUAGUAUUCAAAGUUUUUGCAAAAAAGUUUGCUUGGAUGGUUGAUACAUACCAGACUGGGAAAGCAAUUGUGAAGUUCUUUAGGAACCACCAGCACUUUCAAGACCUCUUUAGACGCAACUCCAAGUUGGAUCUUUUGAAGGUCUCAAAAACAAGAUUUGCUUCUCAUUAUAUUUUGCUUAAGAGGCUUAUGGAUGUUCGAGAGGCGCUCACAACUACCAUUGUCACAAGCAAGUGGAAGGAACUGGUGAAGGCUUGUGAUGUACAAACAAGAGCAGCAGCAAAUGCGAUUGCCCAAAAUAUCAUUGAUGAGACAUUUUGGGAUGAGAUUAAAAUCAUCCUUGACAUCACAAAACCAUUAUACAUGGUAAUCAAGUUCAGUGACGGAGAAGGUCCAAAAUCUGGUGAUAUAUACGGAAAAAAUGGACAAUAUGCUUGGCGAGAUGCAAGAAGUCAUGACAAGGGAAGAUAA
rnacentral:rRNA from 1 species